UGAGUACGAGCUGCUACGGCAGCGAAGUGGGUGAUGUCAUGCUUCCAAGAAAAGCCCUAUACCCGUUAAGGCAUGACGGCCUGUACCCGAAACCGACACAGGUGGGGUGGUAGAGAAUACCGAGGGGCGCGAGGUAACUCUCUCUAAGGAACUCGGCAAAAUGGCCCCGUAACUUCGGGAGAAGGGGUGCCACCGCAAGGUGGUCGCAGUGAAGAGGCCCAGGCGACUGUUUACCAAAAACACAGGUCUCCGCUAAGUCGCAAGACGAUGUAUGGGGGCUGACGCCUGCCCAGUGCCGGAAGGUUAAGGAAGCUGGUCAGCGUAAGCGAAGCUAGCGACUGAAGCCCCGGUGAACGGCGGCCGUAACUAUAACGGUCCUAAGGUAGCGAAAUUCCUUGUCGGGUAAGUUCCGACCCGCACGAAAGGCGUAACGAUCUGGGCGCUGUCUCGGAGAGAGGCUCGGCGAAAUAGAAUUGUCUGUGAAGAUGCGGACUACGUGCACCCGGACAGAAAGACCCUAUGAAGCUUUACUGUAGCUUGGUAUUGUGCUCGGGCUCGGAAUGCGCAGGAUAGGUGGGAGGCUAUGAACCAUUGCUUGCGGGUGAUGGUGAGCCACUGGUGAGAUACCACUCUUUCCGAGCUAGAGUUCUAACAGCCACCCGUUAUCCGGGGGCUGGACAGUAUCAGGUGGCAGUUUGACUGGGGCGGUCGCCUCCUAAAAGGUAACGGAGGCGCGCAAAGGUUUGCUCAGGCUGGUUGGAAAUCAGCCGACGAGUGUAAAAGCAGAAGCAAGCUUGACUGUGAGACCUACAAGUCGAACAGGGAGGAAACUCGGCUUUAGUGAUCCGACGGUUCUGCGUGGAAGGGCCGUCGCUCAACGGAUAAAAGUUACUCUAAGGAUAACAGGCUGAUCUCCCCCAAGAGUUCACAUCGACGGGGAGGUUUGGCACCUCGAUGUCGGCUCAUCGCAACCUGGGGCUGAAGUCGGUCCCAAGGGUUGGGCUGUUCGCCCAUUAAAGCGGUACGCGAGCUGGGUUCAGAACGUCGUGAGACAGUUCGGUCCAUAUCCGGUGCAUGCGCAGGAAUAUUGAGAGGAUUUCUCCCUAGUACGAGAGGACCGGGAGGAACGCACCUCUGGUGUACCAGUUAUCGUGCCAACGGUAAACGCUGGGUAGCCAUGUGCGGAGAGGAUAACCGCUGAAAGCAUCUAAGUGGGAAGCCCACCUCAAGAUGAGUAUUCCCAUGGGGUAACCCAGUAAGGUCACGGGAAGAACACCCGUUGAUAGGCUCUACGUGGAAGCGCAGUAAUGUGUGAAGCGGAGGAGUACUAAUAGACCGAGGGC
rnacentral:rRNA from 1 species